UACGCAGGGGGCUAGCGUUGCUCGGAAUCACUGGGCGUAAAGGGUGCGUAGGCGGGUCUUUCAGUCAGGGGUGAAAUCCUGGAGCUCAACUCCAGAACUGCCUUUGAUACUGAAGAUCUUGAGUUCGGGAGAGGUGAGUGGAACUGCGAGUGUAGAGGUGAAAUUCGUAGAUAUUCGCAAGAACACCAGUGGCGAAGGCGGCUCACUGGCCCGAUACUGACGCUGAGGCACGAAAGCGUGGGGAGCAAACAGG
rnacentral:rRNA from 1 species